ensembl:lncRNA novel transcript, antisense to C17orf97
GGAAACCUCCGCACACAGAGGUGUGCGCAUGCGUGCUUCUGUCGGGGACCGCGGCGCACGGUGGUUCGCCCAUGCUUGCUUUUGUCUGUUGGAAUCUGGACAGUUGACCGCAGGAAGGGGAGGGUGGGCAGAGAGAUUUUAAAUCCCUGGGCUGACACUCAUCUCGUCCAGUCCCGUGCCUCGAUCCUCCUGCCUUGGCCUCCCAUCCCCACGCCUGGCUAAGAGUUUUGAUUUUUGGUUUCAGGCUGGUCUCGAACUCCUGGGCUCCAUCGAUCUUCCCGCCUCGGCCUCCUAGAUCGCUGGGAUCACAGGCAUGAGCCUCCGUGCUCGGCCUCCUGUACCUUUUUAAAUGCUGUGUAUUCUCCCCUCAAUUUUUAUUGCCUGAGUUUCAGCCUCGUACAUCUACCCUGGACUCUCAAAGCCAAUGUGUCCAAAACAAACUUACUUCUUCAUGGUUUUCCACUUUAGUGAACAAAACCGCUGGACUGGCUGGAAACCUGGUGGGCUUCCGUGUCCCCUACCCUCUCCCUUGUCCCUUACCCAGGCUGGGGCCGACUGCCGUGUCUGGCACUGGGACUUCUGGGUCCUCUCCUGAAUGGUCUCUGCUUUCAAACCUUCCCCACGAACUCUUUUUCCGCACAGCUGCUAGAACAAACUUUUAAAAACAACCAAACCGUUCACUCUCUUGCUAAAAGUCUCCAGUGAUGAAAAACAAAACAUAAAAAGCCAAAAAGUCCUCCAUUGCUUCCUCAUCACAAUUUACAUCAAGAUCUAAACUCUUGUGGGGCUCUGUGCAGGGCUGACACCCGUAGUCCCAACACUUUGGGAGGUCAAGCCCACUACAGUUGUAGUUCUGGCACCAUCGUGCCAUCAAAGCCGCUUUACAA